GAAGUAUUUUAAAUCUAUCUGAACUUUCAAGAGUAUUACGAUGAAACUAAUUGUGAUUUUGAUAGUGAUCUCGCUAGCUUUACUAAAUCAUUCGGCUAAUGGCGAUAUUAAAACAAAAUGCGAUGGUCCUUGGCCUAUUGAUGGAAAGUGCGAAGGAGAAAGUCGUAUGGCGUACACCUACUUACUGAAAGUUUGUUGGGACUUCCCAUAUACGGGUUGUAUUAACAAUACAGAAAACGUAUUUAACUCCCUUGCCGAAUGCGAGAAGACUUGCUAUUAUGGAGUUCCUUAAAUAAAUAUUAAAUACCUUAUAUAUUUUAAAACACAUGUAUAGCUUUAUUUAAAUAAAUUGUAUUUCGUAGAAAA